rnacentral:rRNA from 1 species
CCUACGGGAGGCAGCAGUGAGGAAUAUUGGUCAAUGGGCGGAAGCCUGAACCAGCCAAGUCGCGUGAGGGAUUAAGGCCCUGCGGGUCGUAAACCUCUUUUGCCGGGGAGCAGUGGUCCGGACGAGUCCGGGCCGGGAGAGUACCCGGAGAAAAAGCAUCGGCUAACUCCGUGCCAGCAGCCGCGGUAAUACGGGGGAUGCGAGCGUUAUCCGGAUUUAUUGGGUUUAAGGGGUGCGUAGGCGGGCAUUUAAGCCGGCGGUCAAAUGUCGGGGCUCAACCCCGGCCUGCCGGUGGAACUGGGUGCCUUGAGUGGGCGAGAAGUAGGCGGAAUGCGUGGUGUAGCGGUGAAAUGCAUAGAUAUCACGCAGAACCCCGAUUGCGAAGGCAGCAUACCGGCGCCCGACUGACGCUGAGGCACGAAAGUGCGGGUAUCGAACAGGAUUAGAUACCCGAGUAGUC